CAGUACUCCCAUGUAUUGUGAUAUCUACCUGUAUACCUAAUUGUUCUUAAUCUGCUAACACUUAUCUGUUCCUUGUCCCCUAAGAGAAAUUUAUAAUUGUUCCCUGUAAUGACUGUUGAUGGGAUUAUUUGUCAGUAUGAUUUUUUAGUAUCUAGGUCACUGGAAGUUGCAGUUGUGGUGGGGAGUGGUCAGCUGUCAGAGAGACCUCCCAAUAUCAAUCAGAAAGAAAGUAGCAUAAAAAGAAAAGUGCCAGUACCUCAAAUUUAUACUAAAGCACAGUACUUUAGGGAAUACACAUUUCAUCAUUAGUAUUCUUACAUUUAGGUGUUCCAGGGGACAUAUUUGCAUUCUGACCAAGUGUGCAUAUGUAUGACAGAAAUGAUCUCUGAAGCUACAUGUUAUAUGCAGUGGUCUGAACUUUUCAUAUUGAUGUAUUACAGGCUCUGCUGAUUUCAGCACAAAGAAAGAAGUCUUCGAUAGGGUCAUGGGUGUUCGAAGGCUUCAAGAGGAGAAGAAGAUCCUUGUGAAAGAAAUGAAGCAGCACUGGGAGUCUCUCAAAGCCCAUGCCAGGGUCUUGUCCGAGUUGUCUCAGCAUCAGAGUGAAGACGCCAUGCAAAGACAUCUCACAGAGAAAGCAACAAAGGGUCACACCUGCCUCAUCCUCAGAAGGCAGUGGGAAAUGAGAGAGCUGAAGCGGCAUACAAGAAAACACUACCUGCAUGUGCUGUCAUCAGCAGAUGACAUAAUGGACACAAUGGACAGUUCAGAUGAGUUUGACAUUAGCUGUGAAGAUUCAGAGUCAGAUGCAAUGUAAAACAGGAAGAUGUGGUGCUCAUGAUCACAGUGCACCGUGUGCGACACAUGGUCACACAGAGCAUGUGGCUUUAAAAAGUAACUAACGUAUGUGCUCAUUGUCAGGAUUAAGUUGGAGAUGACAGUUGUAGUUUUUGUAUUAGGUUGUUGUUAUUUUUGCAUUUGGUUUUGAAAUGUUUAAUCACUUAUAUAAGGUUUGAUUUUUCUACUGGGUUGUGGGAAGUUCCUGGUUAAUGUUGUCUUACAUCUUUACAACACAAACCACUGUCCUUUACUGUCUUAUCUUUGAUUCACGUUCAGUUCUGCAUCUUUUCAGGGAUUUUCUUUCCAGUUGAUCUUUACUGUUUGAUUAAUAAUUGUUCUUUAAUGUUUAAUUAAACAAAGGCACAAUAAAGCUACAUUUUGUGAUUGAGUCCUUGGAUGUUUCCACUGUUUUAGGUUAGACUUAUUUUAUCUGAGCAAUUCCCACAUGCUUUCAGAGUACAUGAAUUCACUAUAUGGCAAGAGGAGAGAUUCAGAGGAAGGACUAGUGACAUGGGAUUUUCAGCAUCAAGUUUUCAAUAACAUGAACUGUUUUAAUGCAAUUAUAUAUUAUAACAUCCAACUUUACACAGGUUGAAUGAUUUAGCAAACCACAAUUCAUAGUGAUAUACUGUAUAUCAGAUGAACUAGCCAACGUCAAAAUGUAUGUAACAUGUAAAGAAAAGACUUAAAGACGUAAAAGUAUCUCAAAUUUGUACUUAAUUACAGUACUUGAGUAAAAGCACUUUAUUACAUUCCACCACUGGUGACACAUUGACACAAAGACAUAUGCAAAGCACCCGGUAGAUUCAAAUGACUAUAAUUAGGAUUAUGACCAAAAAAUAUUUAUAUAUAUUACCGCCCCCCACACAGACACACGGGCAUGGGCCUGCAAUCUACAAGUGCAUGACCAUAAAGUAGAUUUUUUGGAGGAUGUGGUGGCAUAUUAGAGGUGUUGAGAGUGCUGCCUGUUGAAGAAUGCUCUUUAUUAUUAUUUAUGUGGUGCAUCACUUGACUGUAUUCUCCUUUAAAUAUGUGUUAGUGUUAGGCAACAUGGGCCAAGUGAGUGUCCUGCUGUGGGGGUAUGCGAUGUUGGCAUGUCCGUGGCGAGAGGACCAUUGUCUCAUAAUCUGCCUAUGGGUAAAAUAAGGUCUACACUAGCCCAGAUCCCAAAUAAAAAAAAUAAAAGACAUUUUUGGAAAGGCCUUGACCUGUAGAGUAACAUAUGUCAGUGUGAAGAUUUUAAGUGGCUCCUGCUGUGAAAUAUUGACCUCUGAACCUUGACCUCAGUGCAUAUUGGAAAGCUUGUGAUUCAGCAACAGAAGAGGCUACAGACAUGGGACCAACUGUUUUAGAAAGCUCUUGACUUCAGCUGUGUGACUAUAUUCAUAUAAAUAUAGUCACCAAGUGGGG
rnacentral:lncRNA from 15 species